rnacentral:lncRNA from 13 species
GUUUUCAGUAGCUGUGUCAGUAACAAGGUUUUAAGUAGCUGUGUCAGUAACAAGGUGUUAAGUAACUGUGUCAGUAACAAGACUUUAAAUAGCUGUGUCAGUAACAAGGUUUUAAGUAGCUGUGGCAGUAACAUAGUUUUAAAUAGCUGUGGCAAUAACAUGGUUUUAAAUAGCUGUUGCACUAACAUGGUUUUAAAUAGCUGUGUCAGUAAUAAGAUGUUAAGUAGCUGUGGCAGUAACAGGGUUUUAAAUAGCUGUGGCAGUAACAUGGGUUUUCAGUAGCUGUGUCAGUAACAAGGUUUUAAAUAGCUGUGGCAGUAACAGGGUUUUAAAUAGCUGUGGCAGUAACAAGGUGUUAAUUAGCUUUUGUCAGUAACAUGGUUUUAAAUAGCUGUGGCAGUAACAAGGUUUAAA